rnacentral:rRNA from 1 species
UGGCGGCGCGCCUAACACAUGCAAGUCGAACGAGCGAGAGAGAGGUUGCUUUCUCAAGCGAGUGGCGAACGGGUGAGUAACGCGUGAGGAACCUGCCUCAAAGAGGGGGACAACAGUUGGAAACGACUGCUAAUACCGCAUAAGCCCACGACCCGGCAUCGGGUAGAGGGAAAAGGAGCAAUCCGCUUUGAGAUGGCCUCGCGUCCGAUUAGCUAGUUGGUGAGGUAACGGCCCACCAAGGCGACGAUCGGUAGCCGGACUGAGAGGUUGAACGGCCACAUUGGGACUGAGACACGGCCCAGACUCCUACGGGAGGCAGCAGUGGGGAAUAUUGCACAAUGGGGGAAACCCUGAUGCAGCGACGCCGCGUGGAGGAAGAAGGUCUUCGGAUUGUAAACUCCUGUUGUUGAGGAAGAUAAUGACGGUACUCAACAAGGAAGUGACGGCUAACUACGUGCCAGCAGCCGCGGUAAAACGUAGGUCACAAGCGUUGUCCGGAAUUACUGGGUGUAAAGGGAGCGCAGGCGGGAAGACAAGUUGGAAGUGAAAUCCAUGGGCUCAACCCAUGAACUGCUUUCAAAACUGUUUUUCUUGAGUAGUGCAGAGGUAGGCGGAAUUCCCGGUGUAGCGGUGGAAUGCGUAGAUAUCGGGAGGAACACCAGUGGCGAAGGCGGCCUACUGGGCACCAACUGACGCUGAGGCUCGAAAGUGUGGGUAGCAAACAGGAUUAGAUACCCUGGUAGUCCACACUGUAAACGAUGAUUACUAGGUGUUGGAGGAUUGACCCCUUCAGUGCCGCAGUAACACAAUAAGUAAUCCACCUGGGGAGUACGACCGCAAGGUUGAAACUCAAAGGAAUUGACGGGGGCCCGCACAAGCAGUGGAGUAUGUGGUUUAAUUCGACGCAACGCGAAGAACCUUACCAAGUCUUGACAUCCUGCGACGGUGCUGGAAACAGUACUUUCCUUCGGGACGCAGAGACAGGUGGUGCAUGGUUGUCGUCAGCUCGUGUCGUGAGAUGUUGGGUUAAGUCCCGCAACGAGCGCAACCCUUAUGGUCAGUUACUACGCAAGAGGACUCUGGCCAGACUGCCGUUGACAAAACGGAGGAAGGUGGGGAUGACGUCAAAUCAUCAUGCCCUUUAUGACUUGGGCUACACACGUACUACAAUGGCGUUAAACAAAGAGAAGCAAGACCGCGAGGUGGAGCAAAACUCAGAAACAACGUCCCAGUUCGGACUGCAGGCUGCAACUCGCCUGCACGAAGUCGGAAUUGCUAGUAAUCGCAGAUCAGCAUGCUGCGGUGAAUACGUUCCCGGGCCUUGCACAAAGCGCCCGUC